AACGUAGGUGGCAAGCGUUAUCCGGAAUUACUGGGCGUAAAGGGUGUGCAGGCGGGGGAACAAGUGGUGUAUGAAAUCUCCCAGCUUAACUGGGAUAGGUUAUGCCAGACUGUUCUUCUAGAGGACGAGAGAGGGGGGUGGAAUUCCGGGUGUAGUGGUGAAAUGCGUAGAGAUCCGGAGGAACCCCAGAGGCGAAGGCGGCCCUCUGGCUCGUACCUGACGCUCAGCCACGAAAGCAUGGGGAGCGAACGGG
rnacentral:rRNA from 1 species